UUACAGGUUUCCGUAGGUGAACCUGCGGAAGGAUCAUUA
rnacentral:rRNA from 1 species